AAGUCGUAACAAGGUCUCCGUAGGUGAACCUGCGGAGGGAUCAUUAACACGUUUUAACAACGUACCCACCAAAGCUGCGGAAACGCGAGCAGCGACUGUGAAACUUCACAGUUGUUGCUCAGUUCUCUCCCUUCUUGCUCGCGCACUCUGCUCGCAGCGUGUAUGUUCGUGGAGGCUAUAACCUUUAUUGACCCAUUUCCAACUUCAAUGCUUGCUGCGGCCGUGACUUGUUACUUGUAACUUGUUGUUGUUGUUCGUUUGGUGUUGUCUGUAUCUGCCCUGUAUUCUAUCUGUGGAGGG
rnacentral:misc_RNA from 1 species